rnacentral:misc_RNA from 1 species
CACGGCUCUGUCUACCUUUGCCUGGUUCUCAGCGCUGUCUACGUUUCAGUCGCAGUUGCGGGCCCUCUCACCGCAAGUGUAAUAGAGCGAAAGAUAAGGAGCUCCAAUUCAGCAACAACGACGCAGAUUACUGGCCCCGGACACGAAAGGGCUCUCGUCAUCGCUGUAUCAGGGCUCAGGCUGCCGUGCCGCCGCCUCCGCCAUCCGACACGCUCACACAUACAAAAAAAAACGGCGCGAGCAAAUUGGAGUCGUGAUUUUCUGUGUUGCCUCCAUUCAAAGUGUUGCGUAUUGUCGAGAUUGUUUUCUGUUUUCCUGCGAUUUUGCGAGGCGAAUGCCGACAGCCACGGCGCGCGAUCUCUCCGGCAAGGCGCCGUUGUUCGUCUACCUCCAAGGAGGAGAGCGGGAGCGCCUGCCAACAGGAGAGUACAUUCGUGUGGUGGCACAGUGCAGUGGGGCAGACAAGACGGUGAACCGCCACGAUUUCGCAUUGCAUAACCGCGGUGCGCGGCUCUGUCGCCUACUCGACUCCCUUUUAGACUCUGUCGAUGUGGACCUGAAGCGCAAGGUAGACCCGGUGCAGGGACUCAUUCCUCCUGUAAUGCUGCCGCACGCGACGCGAGAGGGUUGUGAGUGUGUGUUCCGGUACCUUGAACUCAUACAAACACGCGUACCGACUCUCCUCAGCAAGCCGCUGCGCGCUCCGCUGGAGGAGCUGGUGUGCGAAUGGGAGAUGACCUACCUGCUUGAGGACUGCUUCCUUCCAGGCGUAGCGGUCGAAACGAAGACGUCGGCGGCGCUGUGCCAUACCCUAGCAAAGAGAGGCCCCCAGACAAUGGACCGCGUCUUAGAAGUGGCGAUGUUAGCCGACUUUCUUCUCAUCGAGCCGCUUCGCGACUUGACGUGCGCCCUGCUUGCUUCUCUCGCCCUCAGUGCCGGAUCGGAGAAGGAGCUGCUGCAGCUCUGCGGCCUCGACCACGUCUUGACGGAGGAGGAGCUUGAGCCGCUGUACAUGCAGCUUCCCUUUCUACGCCCCGAAGAUGGACUUGCGUAGAGCACUCCGCUCCCCUCUCCCUCUAGUGUGUUGCAACAGAGUUAGCGUGUGAUGUGCGCGUGCAGCCGCAUUGAAUGCGGAAUGUCGGCACGACGCACUGAUGACUACCUCGGUGGCUGUCACACCUCUCUGCCUUCCUCCUCCCCAGUCGCCGACGAAUGAGACGUGGUGUCGCCGUUACCUCGAUCUUUUUCCGUUUUACUUUCUUGUUUCGUUUUCUUUUCAUUGCAGUCCUUGAUGAUGAGGGACACCUCCAUGCGUGGUGCCGCAGGGCCCAGUACCCCCGCCCUCUCUCUCUGGAGAAGCCGGGAGGCCACCCUAUUGCUGGCCAAGUGCCGAACCACCUGUGGUGGUGACAGGGUCGCCGGCGCCGGCGCCGUGCUGGAGGUCCGGGCGACGUAUCGCUGCUGAUGUAGUUGGUCGGGUCCUGGCCGGGCGUUGCGUCGGGGCGACCGGCGACAGUGAACACGCGUGUGCCAUCCAUAUGAUUCGGCAGCGUGUCACCGCGUCUCGAGAGUAACCCGCCCGGGCCCCUACACCGCCCACUGGUGUGCGGGGGGGGGGAGGGCGGGGGCAGCGGCGCCCGCGCCCAUUCCGAGAAGGGAGGGAGGCACCAGCUGGCGGCCGGCGAGGCGGCGGGUGGGUGGGGUAGAGCUCGAGGGCAGAUGGCCGUGCUCAGAUAGCUGAGUCGGCAGCACUGCUGCACCGCGUGCCUGCCGCUUCUUCGCGCGACGCGGGGGGGGACUGUGACAGGCCGUGGGUGGAGCGGAGCUUGCCUUGUGUUGGAGUGGCAGAAUAGGCCAUGUGAAAGAAAAACCUUACCCUGUUUUGUAUUGUUGCUUGCUAAGGAAUUCAUCUCCGCUGAAGGUUACAUACGUGUUCGCACACACUCAAGCAGUCUGAAGGCCGCCAGCAAGUAUGCAAGCAGAGGUGUGGCCGCAUGUUUUUAGCUACGUAGUAUAUUGCAUAAUAACUCACAGACAAUUGAGAAUGGGGCACCAGC